rnacentral:snRNA from 1 species
AGCUCUCUGCAGUGGCAGUAUCAUAGCCAAUGAGGUUUAUCCAAGGCGUGAUUAUUACUAAUUGAAAAUGAG